rnacentral:rRNA from 1 species
UGAGGAAUAUUGGGCAAUGCCCGCAAGGGUGACCCAGCAACGCCGCGUGGAGGAUGAAUGUCGUAAGAUUGUAAACUCCUGUUAGAGGGGAAGAAUAGUACCGGUUGGACCGGUAUAUGACUGUACCCUCAGAGAAAGCCCCGGCUAACUACGUGCCAGCAGCCGCGGUAAUACGUAGGGGGCAAGCGUUGUCCGGAUUUACUGGGUGUAAAGGGCGCGCAGGCGGGAUAAAAAGUCAGUGGUGAAAUCCUACAGCUUAACUGUAGAACUGCCUUUGAUACUUGUAUUCUUGAGUUCGGGAGAGAGAGACGGAAUUCCAGGUGUAGUGGUGAAAUACGUAGAGAUCUGGAAGAACACCAGUUGCGAAGGCGGUCUCUUGGUCCGACACUGACGCUGAGGCGCGAAAGCGUGGGGAGCAAACA